rnacentral:rRNA from 1 species
GACGAACGCUGGCGGCGUGCUUAACACAUGCAAGUCGAACGCUGAAGCUUGGUGCUUGCACUGGGUGGAUGAGUGGCGAACGGGUGAGUAAUACGUGAGUAACCUGCCCUUGACUCUGGGAUAAGCCUGGGAAACUGGGUCUAAUACUGGAUACGACAUGCCACUGCAUGGUGGUGUGUGGAAAGGGUUUAAUUGGUUUUGGAUGGGCUCACGGCCUAUCAGCUUGUUGGUGGGGUAAUGGCCUACCAAGGCGACGAGGGGUAGCCGGCCUGAGAGGGGGGCCGGCCACACUGGGACUGAGACACGGCCCAGACUCCUACGGGAGGCAGCAGUGGGGAAUAUUGCACAAUGGGCGGAAGCCUGAUGCAGCGACGCGGCGUGAGGGAUGACGGCCUUCGGGUGGUAAACCUCUUUCAGAACGGAAGAAGCGCGAGUGACGGUACGUGCAGAAGAAGCGCCGGCUAACUACGUG